UGAUAGCGAAGGACCUGGGACAUAUCCUUAAUGUCCUGAAGUAUCGGCUAGACUGAUACAGAAGACUCCCUAUGGUCGCCACAUGCCUCACCGGGGAGGAAUACACGCGCCAGUGGCAGGAGAGGGGUUAGAAGGAGAGAAGGAGAGGGCUAGCAUAAAGCAUAGAGCUCUUAGCAUAGCAAAGAGCGUCGGGCAGCCCUCAGAACAUAGAGGGCACAGGAGAGGGCUGCCAUGGAUGAGACCAUUGACGCCACCGCCUCUGCUGGACCCCCCACUGGAACCACUCCUGACAGCUGCAUCACCACUGCUAAUACCUCCCAGUGUGCAACACCUGUAGGAGCCGCCGGAGUCCACAGCUACAGAAGGCCACGUGCCUACUCUCCUGGCCACACCAUCAUCUGCCCCUCAACCCCACCAUUACAAACACCAGCUCCUCCAAGCCAUCGGCGGCGGUUUCGUCCACCACCACCACGAUGCACACCACCCCCCCUGUCUGUCAUCACCAACACGGUCUCCUCUGGACCAACUGCCUCCUCUGUCUCCCCUGGUCACACCACCAUAGCAGCCUCGUCUGGUGUCCCUGCCCCCUGCAAUUAGAAUACAGCCUCCUCCACAGUCCAUAGCACCAGCCUCAAGGCAUGUCCACCUCCUCCAAAACUUCUGCAGCUUCCUCCAGAGCACAGAAAAGGAAGAGAAAAGCUUCACCGGCCACCUCUGUUACACCACCCAUGGAAUUGUUUUUUUCUCUCUCAGUUGUAUCAAUGACUAUUGUUGCUGUAGUACUUCUACAUUUUGCAAAACCAUGUUAAUACAUUUGAUGUGUUCUUGGGUGUGCUGUGACUUCUGCCAGCACUGGUUUCACUGCAGGUGCGUGCAGUGCGAUCCAGAGGUGGCGGUGGAGCUAGAUUUUAAUUGUGAUUCUGUGACAAUAUGGGGAUGGAGGUCGAGAGUUAAUUGUUUGUUUUGUUUGUUUUCAUAUGAAAUUACUUAUUUGUAAACGAAAAUACAUGUCUAAAAUAUAAUAUAUUUAUUCAACCCAUCC